AGCCUGCCCCGGGCUGCCCCGCUCGGAGUCCAGAGCAGUGGGGCUGCGGAGCCGCGAGGCUUAUGCUGAAGCUUCCGGGUGCUCUGCCCACCCCCAGCCGUGUCCCUCGGCGAUGGGCCGCUCCUCAGCAGCCUGGGCAGGCAGGAACACGAAACUGUGAAUUCCCAGUGACUCAUCAUCACUCCCUGUCAGAGUGGCGUCUUCUGCUGUGCAAGCCUACAUUUGGGAAAUGAUUCAGUCUGCAGGAGAAAGAAAGCUCCUACAGUAAUAUAGCUCAUGGAUUUAGAGGGGAAAGCCUACUCAGGAUGUCUGCUUUUAAGAAGAGCAGUCAGAGAAACUGCUUCCUAGUUUGCUCGGUGCACCCAAAGCCAUGAGAAUAAUACAGAAUAAUACAGAAUUUGAUUUAAAGGCUGAUCUAUGCACAGAUUUCUUUAAAAUAACUGACUACCUUGGAGAAAAGUGAGAUCAAGAGGUCCAGGUUAGGACACACGCUCUAUCAGUAGGAAGUUGUUCACAUAAAGGCAGAGUCCUUUUAACAGCACCCACAU